ACCCAGCCGGCAAGUCCCAAAUAGGACGAAACGCGCGUCUUUGAU
rfam:Schistosoma rodhaini strain Burundi genome assembly, scaffold: SROB_scaffold0001776